UGGGGAAUUUUCCACAAUGGGCGGAAGCCUGAUGGAGCAAUACCGCGUGAGGGAUGAAGGAUCGUGGUUCGUAAACCUCUUUUCUUAGGGAAGAAUAAAUGACGGUACCUAAGGAAUAAGCACCGGCUAACUCUGUGCCAGCAGCCGCGGUAAUACAGAGGGUGCAAGCGUUGUCCGGAAUGAUUGGGCGUAAAGCAUCUGUAGGUGGUUUCUAAAGUCAGCUGUUAAAUCCCAGAGCUCAACUUUGGUCAAGCAGCUGAGUACUUAGGGACUUGAGUAUGGUAGGGGUAGAGGGAAUUCCUUGUUUAGCGGUGAAAUGCAUAGAGAUAAGGAAGAACACCAGUGGCGAAAGCGCUCUACUAGGCCAUGACUGACACUGAGAGAU
rnacentral:rRNA from 1 species